rnacentral:rRNA from 1 species
UACGGAGGUGGCAAGCGUUACUCGGAAUUAUUGGGUGUAAAGGGCAAGUAGGCGGCUUAGUAAGUGGGGGGUGAAAUACUCCGGCUCAAUCGGAGAACAGCCUUCCAAACUACUAAGCUUGAGUGUGACAGAGGAAAAUGGAAUUCUAGGUGUAAGGGUGAAAUCUGUAGAUAUCUAGAAGAACACCAGCGGCGAAGGCGAUUUUCUGGGUCACUACUGACGCUAAAUUGCGAAAGCUAGGGGAGCAAACAGA